rnacentral:rRNA from 1 species
AGCGAGCGCUGGCGGCAGGCCUAACACAUGCAAGUCGAACGGAUCCUUCGGGAUUAGUGGCGGACGGGUGAGUAACACGUGGGAACGUGCCCUUUGGUUCGGAACAACUCAGGGAAACUUGAGCUAAUACCGGAUGUGCCCUUCGGGGGAAAGAUUUAUCGCCAUUGGAGCGGCCCGCGUCUGAUUAGCUAGUUGGUGAGGUAACGGCCCACCAAGGCGACGAUCAGUAGCUGGUCUGAGAGGAUGAUCAGCCACACUGGGACUGAGACACGGCCCAGACUCCUACGGGAGGCAGCAGUGGGGAAUCUUGCGCAAUGGGCGAAAGCCUGACGCAGCCAUGCCGCGUGAAUGAUGAAGGUCUUAGGAUUGUAAAAUUCUUUCAGCGGGGACGAUAAUGACGGUACCCGCAGAAGAAGCUCCGGCUAACUUCGUG